rnacentral:rRNA from 1 species
GACGAACGCUGGCGGCGUGCUUAACACAUGCAAGUCGAACGGUGAAGCCCAGCUUGCUGGGUGGAUCAGUGGCGAACGGGUGAGUAACACGUGAGUAACCUGCCUUUGACUCUGGGAUAAGCCUUGGAAACGGGGUCUAAUACUGGAUACGAGACGCUCGGGCAUCCGAAGUGUCUGGAAAGAUUUGUCGGUCAGAGAUGGACUCGCGGCCUAUCAGCUUGUUGGUGGGGUAACGGCCUACCAAGGCGACGACGGGUAGCCGGCCUGAGAGGGCGACCGGCCACACUGGGACUGAGACACGGCCCAGACUCCUACGGGAGGCAGCAGUGGGGAAUAUUGCACAAUGGGCGCAAGCCUGAUGCAGCGACGCCGCGUGAGGGAUGACGGCCUUCGGGUUGUAAACCUCUUUUAGCAGGGAAGAAGCGAAAGUGACGGUACCUGCAGAAAAAGCACCGGCUAACUACGUGCCAGCCGCCGCCGUAA